CCCCCAAAUCAAAUAUUCUCUCGCUUCUUCCACAGAGUCCACACACACGACACUUUUAGUUUUCACUGAGUUCUCUCUUCGCCCGUCCGUUCUCCAUCUCUGCUCGACGCCACCGCCGGUCGCCCUCGAGUCUUGACGCCAUCGCCGGUCGCCCUCGAGUCUUGACGCCAUCGCCGGUCUCCCUUGACGCCACUGCCGCUGGCCCGCUGAUCUCUGCUCGAGGGUCGAGGACUCGAGGCCACCUUCGCUCGCCUUGACAGCACCGCGGCUGACCUCUUCGCCCGUCCGUUCUCCAUCUCUGCUCGACGCCACCGCCGGUCGCCCUCGAGUCUCGACGCCACCGCCGGUCUCCCUCGAAGCCAUUGCCGCUGAUCUCUGCUCGAGGGUCGAGGACUCGAGGCCACCUUCGCUCGCCCUCGACAGCACCGCGGCUGACCUCUUUGCCCGUCCGUUCUCCAUCUCUGCUCGACGCCACCGCCGGUCGCCCUCGAGUCUCGACGCCACCGCCGGUCUCCCUCGACGCCACUGCGGUUGAUCUCUGCUCGAGGGUCGAGGCCACCUUCGCUCGCCCUCGACAGCACCGCGGCUGACCUCUGGCUCACCGUUUGCCCUCGACGGCACCGUCGCUCGCCCUCGACACCACCGCUCGCUGAUCCCUGCUCGAGGCCACCUCCUCUCGCCCUCGACGACACAGCCGCUAACCUCUGGCUGACCGCUUGCCCUCGACGCCAUCGUCGCUCACCCUCGACGCCACCACUCGCUGACCCCUGCUCGAGGCCACCUCUGCUCUCCCUUGACGGCACCGCCGCUGACCUCUAGCUCGCCGCUCGCCCUCGACGCCACCGUCGCUCGCCCUCGACGCCACCGCCGCUCACCCUCGACACCACCACUCGCUGACCCCUGCUCGAGGCCACCUCCGCUCUCCCUCGACGGUAAGAUGCUAUUUGCACAAUUACUUAUGAUUUAACGAUGAUGCUUAAUACCUUGUGAAGUCUUGUGAGAUAACUAUUUAUUAAAUGUCACUAAUUUGAUUGAUGAAAAACCCUUGCAGGA
rnacentral:lncRNA from 1 species